GGGAGGCAGCAGUGGGGAAUUUUGCGCAAUGGGCGAAAGCCUGACGCAGCGACGCCGCGUGGGGGAUGAAGGCUUUCGAGUUGUAAACCCCUUUUCCUGGGGAAGAAUAAUGACGGUACCCAGGGAAUAAGUCUUGGCUAACUACGUGCCAGCAGCCGCGGUAAUACGUAGGAGGCAAACGUUAUUCGGAUUUAUUGGGCGUAAAGCGGGUGUAGACGGCUUCUUUAGUCGGUUGUUAAAUCUCCUGACUUAAUUGGGAGGAGCCAAUCGAUACUGAGAAGCUUCGAGGACAGCAGAAGAAAGUGGAAUUCCCGAUGUAGCGGUGAUAUGCGUAGAUAUCGGGAGGAAUACCAGUGGCGAAGGCGGCUUUCUAGGUUGUUCCUGACGUUGAUGCCCAAAAGCGUGGGGAGCGAAACGGAUUAGAUACCCUUGUAGUCCC
rnacentral:rRNA from 1 species